CACUUCUAGCAUUACAAUUAUUGGAGGCACUGCCUGUCCAGUGACAUCCGUUAAACGGCCGCGGUAUCCUGACCGUGCAAAGGUAGCAUAAUCAUUUGUUCUUUAAAUAAGGACUUGUAUGAAUGGCCACACGAGGGUUUUACUGUCUCUUACUUCCAAUCAGUGAAAUUGACCUUCCCGUGAAGAGGCGGGAAUCCACAAAUAAGACGAGAAGACCCUAUGGAGCUUUAAUUAAUCAGCCCACAAAAUAAACAUCACACUUCCAAGGAAAAUAAACUGACUUUUACUGGACUGACAAUUUAGGUUGGGGUGACCUCGGAAUAUAAAACAACUCCCGAGUGACAUAGUUUAGACUAACGAGUCGAAACUUUCUAUCAUUCAGUGAUCCAAUUUCUUUUGAUCAACGGAACAAGUUACCCUAGGGAUAACAGCGCAAUCCUAUUUGAGAGUCCAUAUCGACAAUAGGGUUUACGACCUCGAUGUUGGAUCAGGACAUCCCAAUGGUGCAGCCGCUAUUAAUGGUUCGUUUGUUCAACGAUUAAAGUCCU
rnacentral:rRNA from 1 species